rnacentral:rRNA from 1 species
AGUGAACGCUGGCGGUAGGCCUAACACAUGCAAGUCGAACGGCAGCACAGUAAGAGCUUGCUCUUACGGGUGGCGAGUGGCGGACGGGUGAGGAAUACAUCGGAAUCUACUUUUUCGUGGGGGAUAACGAAGGGAAACUUACGCUAAUACCGCAUACGACCUACGGGUGAAAGCAGGGGAUCUUCGGACCUUGCGCGAUUGAAUGAGCCGAUGUCGGAUUAGAUAGUUGGCGGGGUUAAGGCCCACCAAGGCGACGAUCCGUAGCUGGUCUGUGAGGAUGAUCAGCCACACUGGAACUGGGACACGGACCAGGCUCCUGCGGGAGGCAGCAGUGGGGAAUGUUGGACAAUGGGCGCAAGCCUGAUCCAGCCAUACCGCGUGGGUGAAGGAGGCCUUCGGGUUGUAAAGCCCUUUUGUUGGGAGAGAAAAGCAUCAGGUUGAUACCCCGCUGUUCUGACGGUACCCAAAGAAUAAGCACCGGCUAACUACGUG